rnacentral:ncRNA from 1 species
GACACCGAUGUAUUAUAUGGCCGAUGCAUAUUCGAGGUUAAUAGGGAAGCCGGUGUGAACCCGGCGCGGUCCCGCCACUGUGAAUGGAGUGUUGCGCUCAUGAUGCCACUGUCGAAUUCGUUAGUGUGUGCUGUAUGUACCGCUAUGGAUGGGAAGGCGAGCUGCAACGUAUUCUCCUAAGUCAGGAAACCUGCCUGAAGAUGGACGAGCUGU